UCAGGAUCAUUUUGCAAAUUGCAGCGCGUCAGUCCAAAGUAUUUUGUAUAAAAACGCCCUUCCUAGAAACAAGUGCAAAAUGAAGCAUCAAACAAGGAUAUUCCUGCUUCCAGGAUUGAAAAUCUUAUUGAGGGGGUGCUGAUGAUGGAGAGGCUGCAGAAUCUGGAUCAACGAGAUCAAUGAUGGACACAAUGGUGGAUCGCAGGCGUAGAAGACAGCUUGGAAUUUGAGGCAGUCACUGAUGGUGUUAGAGGAAAAGAAAGAAAGACAAAGAAAUAUAUGUGAGCGGAC